GACGAACGCUGGCGGCGCGCCUAACACAUGCAAGUCGAACGAGAGAGAGGGAGCUUGCUUCCUCGAUCGAGUGGCGAACGGGUGAGUAACGCGUGAGGAACCUGCCUCAAAGAGGGGGACAACAGUUGGAAACGACUGCUAAUACCGCAUAAGCCCACGGCUCGGCAUCGAGCAGAGGGAAAAGGAGCAAUCCGCUUUGAGAUGGCCUCGCGUCCGAUUAGCUAGUUGGUGAGGUAAUGGCCCACCAAGGCGACGAUCGGUAGCCGGACUGAGAGGUUGAGCGGCAACAUUGGGACUGAGACACGGCCCAGACUCCUACGGGAGGCAGCAGUGGGGAAUAUUGCACAAUGGGGGAAACCCUGAUGCAGCGACGCCGCGUGGAGGAAGAAGGUCUUCGGAUUGCAAACUCCUGUUGUUGAGGAAGAUAAUGACGGUACUCAACAAGGAAGUGACGGCUAACUACGUGCCAGCAGCCGCCGUAA
rnacentral:rRNA from 1 species